AACGAACGCUGGCGGCAUGCCUAACACAUGCAAGUCGAACGAGACCUUCGGGUCUAGUGGCGCACGGGUGCGUAACGCGUGGGAACCUGCCCUUAGGUUCGGAAUAACUCCCCGAAAGGGGUGCUAAUACCGGAUAAUGUCUUCGGACCAAAGAUUUAUCGCCUUUGGAUGGGCCCGCGUUGGAUUAGCUAGUUUGUAGGGUAAAAGCCUACCAAGGCGACGAUCCAUAGCUGGUCUGAGAGGAUGAUCAGCCACACUGGGACUGAGACACGGCCCAGACUCCUACGGGAGGCAGCAGUGGGGAAUAUUGGACAAUGGGCGAAAGCCUGAUCCAGCAAUGCCGCGUGAGUGAUGAAGGCCUUAGGGUUGUAAAGCUCCUUUACCCGGGAUGAUAAUGACAGUACCGGGAGAAUAAGCUCCGGCUAACUCCGUG
rnacentral:rRNA from 1 species